GACGAACGCUGGCGGCGUGCUUAACACAUGCAAGUCGAACGGAAAGGCCCUGCUCUUGUGGGGUGCUCGAGUGGCGAACGGGUGAGUAACACGAGAGUAACCUGCCCUUGACUUUGGGAUAACUUAAGGAAACUGGGGCUAAUACCGGAUAGGAGCUCCUGCUGCAUGGUGGGGGUUGGAAAGUUUCGGCGGUUGGGGAUGGACUCGCGGCGUAUCAGCUUGUUGGUGGGGUAGUGGCUUACCAAGGCUUUGACGGGUAGCCGGCCUGAGAGGGUGACCGGCCAGAUUGGGACUGAGAUACGGCCCAGACUCGUACGGGAGGCAGCAGUGGGGAAUAUUGCACAAUGGGCGGAAGCCUGAUGCAGCAACGCCGCGUGCGGGAUGACGGCCUUCGGGUUGUAAACCGCUUUCGCCUGUGACGAAGCGUGAGUGACGGUAAUGGGUAAAGAAGCACCGGCUAACUACGUG
rnacentral:rRNA from 1 species